AAGAAAGUAUCUUUAAAAGAAUUAGUGUCUUGAAAACACUAAGUCAAGAGGGGAGGGCUCUUGGCUUUCUUA
rnacentral:tRNA from 2 species